rnacentral:rRNA from 1 species
GUCGAGCGAAUGGAUUAAGAGCUUGCUCUUAUGAAGUUAGCGGCUCUUUGGGUGAGUAACACGUGGGUAACCUGCCCAUAAGACUGGCAUAACUCCGGGAAACCGGGGCUAAUACCGGAUAACAUUUUGAACCGCAUGGUUCGAAAUUGAAAGGCGGCUUCGGCUGUCACUUAUGGAUGGACCCGCGUCGCAUUAGCUAGUUGGUGAGGUAACGGCUCACCAAGGCAACGAUGCGUAGCCGACCUGAGAGGGUGAUCGGCCACACUGGGACUGAGACACGGCCCAGACUCCUACGGGAGGCAGCAGUAGGGAAUCUUCCGCAAUGGACGAAAGUCUGACGGAGCAACGCCGCGUGAGUGAUGAAGGCUUUCGGGUCGUAAAACUCUGUUGUUAGGGAAGAACAAGUGCUAGUUGAAUAAGCUGGCACCUUGACGGUACCUAACCAGAAAGCCACGGCUAACUACGUGCCAGCAGCCGCGGUAAUACGUAGGUGGCAAGCGUUAUCCGGAAUUAUUGGGCGUAAAGCGCGCGCAGGUGGUUUCUUAAGUCUGAUGUGAAAGCCCACGGCUCAACCGUGGAGGGUCAUUGGAAACUGGGAGACUUGAGUGCAGAAGAGGAAAGUGGAAUUCCAUGUGUAGCGGUGAAAUGCGUAGAGAUAUGGAGGAACACCAGUGGCGAAGGCGACUUUCUGGUCUGUAACUGACACUGAGGCGCGAAAGCGUGGGGAAAGAACAGGAUUAGAUACCCUGGUAGUCCACGCCGUAAACUAAAAGGGCUAAGUGUUAGAGGGUUUCCGCCC